rnacentral:rRNA from 1 species
UAGAAAGUCUUUGAAUGUUAUCAUCAUCAUCGAGUCGCGACUUUUAGGAGACGCGAUUCUUUGAGACAAAAGUUAUUACAACUUUCAGCAACGGAUCUCUUGGCUCUCGCAUCGAUGAAGAACGCAGCGAAUCGCGAUAUGUAAUGUGAAUUGCAGAUCUACAGUGAAUCAUCGAAUCUUUGAACGCACCUUGCGCUCCUCGGUGUUCCGAGGAGCAUGCCUGUUUGAGUGUCAGUUAAUUCUCAACCCCUCUCGAUUUGCUUCGAGAGGGUGCUUGGAUGUUGGGGGCUGCCGGAGACCUGGAUUCGUCCAGGACUCGGGCUCCUCUGAAAUGAAUCGGCUCGCGGUCGACUUUCGACUUUGCGCGACAAGGCCUUUGGCGUGAUAAUGAUCGCCGUUCGCCGAAGCGCAAGACAGAACGGUCCCGUGCCUCUAAUGCGUCGACGCCUUCCGGGGCGUCUUCCUUAUCGACGUUUGACCUCAAAUCAGGUAGGACUACCCGCUGAACUUAAGCAUAUCAAUAAGCGGAGGAAAAGAAACUAACAAGGAUUCCCCUAGUAACUGCGAGUGAACCGGGAAAAGCUCAAAUUUUGAAUCUGGUGGUCUUCAGGCCGUCCGAGUUGUAAUCUAGAGAAGCGUCUUCCGCGC